rnacentral:rRNA from 1 species
AUUAGAUACCCGUCUAUUUAUGCCCUAAAUAAGUUAGUUGAAUAAUACGGCCAAAAGACUAAAAAUCAAAAAGCUUGGCGGUGCUUCACCAUACCAGGGGAACCUGUCCCAUAAAUCGAUAAUCCACGAACAAUUAACCUAUAUUAGCCCUAAGCAGCCUGUGUACUGCCGUCGCAAGCUAACCUUUAAAAGAAAGUUAGCAACCACACCUCAUAAUUACGUCAGGUCAAAGUGCAGCCAAUAUAUAGGAGGAAUGAUGGGUUACAACCUACACAAAGACAACGCACUAGAGCUACAAAAACUCUACAAAGGUGGACUAGAAUGUAAUCCAAGCUACAAAGCUUAAAUUAAUUUAGAUCUGAAGCAUGCACACAUCGCCCGUCACUCCCCCCCAAAGGGGAGAUAAGUCGUAAC